rnacentral:rRNA from 1 species
ACCUGCAGUCGAGCGGUAGCACAGGGAGCUUGCUCCUGGGUGACGAGCGGCGGACGGGUGAGUAAUGUCUGGGAAACUGCCUGAUGGAGGGGGAUAACUACUGGAAACGGUAGCUAAUACCGCAUAACGUCUUCGGACCAAAGAGGGGGACCUUCGGGCCUCUUGCCAUCACAUGUGCCCCCAUGGGAUUAGCUAGUAGGUGAGGUAAUGGCUCACCUAGGCGACAAUCCCUAGCUGGGCUGAGAGGAUGACCAGCCACACUGGAACUGAGACACGGUCCAGACUCCUACGGGAGGCAGCAGUGGGGAAUAUUGCACAAUGGGCGCAAGCCUGAUGCACCCCUGCCCCGUGUAUGAAAAAAGCCUUCGGGUUGUAAAGUACUUUCACCGAGGAGGAAAGCGUUAAGGUUAAUAACCUUUGCGAUUGACGUUACUCGCAGAAAAAACACCGGCUAACUCCGUGCCACCAG